rnacentral:rRNA from 1 species
UACGUAGUGGGCAAGCGUUAUCCGGAAUUACUGGGUGUAAAGGGAGCGUAGACGGUAAUGUAAGUCUGGAGUGAAAGGCGGGGGCCCAACCCCCGGGCUGCUCUGGAAACUAUGUUACUAGAGUGCAGGAGAGGUAAGCGGAAUUCCUAGUGUAGCGGUGAAAUGCGUAGAUAUUAGGAGGAACACCAGUGGCGAAGGCGGCUUACUGGACUGUAACUGACGUUGAGGCUCGAAAGCGUGGGGAGCAAACAGG